GACGUAGGGAGCGAGCGUUGUCCGGAUUCAUUGGGCGUAAAGAGCGCGUAGGCGGUUUGGUAAGUCGGAUGUGAAAACACGAGGCUCAACCUCGUGCGUGCAUCCGAUACUGCCCGACUAGAGGUAGGUAGGGGAGAUCGGAAUUCCUGGUGUAGCGGUGAAAUGCGCAGAUAUCAGGAGGAACACCGGUGGCGAAGGCGGAUCUCUGGGCCUUACCUGACGCUGAGGCGCGAAAGCUAGGGGAGCAAACAGG
rnacentral:rRNA from 1 species